ensembl:snRNA U6 U6 spliceosomal RNA
GUGCUUGCUUUGGCAGCAUGUAUGCUAAAAUUGGAAUGAUACAGAGAACAUUAGCAUGGCCCCUGCACAUGGAUGAUGCACAAAUUCCUGAGAUAUUCUUUU